AGACAGUCCAAAAAAAAAUACCCCUCAUAUCCAACGUUUGAUGGUUCAUCUUAUUUAAAAUUCUUUUUAUGAUUAGUAUUUUUGUUGUUAUUAGAUGAUAAAACAUGAGCAAGUACUUUGUGUGUGACUAAUUCUUUUUAAUUUUUUCAUAAAAUUUUCAAAUAAGACGAACGGUCAAACGUUUGAUAUGGAUACCCACGGAUACACAUAUU
rfam:Oryza nivara chromosome 3, whole genome shotgun sequence.